UACGUAGGGGGCGAGCGUUGUCCGGAAUUAUUGGGCGUAAAGAGCGUGUAGGCGGUUCGGUAAGUCUGCCGUGAAAACCUGGGGCUCAACCCCGGGCGUGCGGUGGAUACUGCCGGGCUAGAGGGUGGUAGAGGCGAGUGGAAUUCCCGGUGUAGCGGUGAAAUGCGCAGAUAUCGGGAGGAACACCUGCGGCGAAGGCGGGUUGCUGGGCUGACACUGACGCUGAGGCGCGAAAGCUAGGGGAGCGAACGGG
rnacentral:rRNA from 1 species